CAAAGGGAGCAAUCCCGGCCACGGAUGGGCAUGCGGCGCAUUAGCUAGUCGGCGGGGUAACGGCCCACCGAGGCGACGAUGCGUAGGGGUUCUGAGAGGAAGGCCCCCCACACUGGUACUGAGACACGGACCAGACUCCUACGGGAGGCAGCAGUGAGGAAUAUUGGUCAAUGGGCGCGAGCCUGAACCAGCCAAGUCGCGUGAGGGAGGACGGCCCUACGGGUUGUAAACCUCUUUUGCCGGGGAGCAACGGGCGCCACGUGUGGCGCCACUGAGAGUACCCGGAGAAAAAGCAUCGGCUAACUCCGUGCCAGCAGCCGCGGUAAUACGGAGGAUGCGAGCGUUAUCCGGAUUUAUUGGGUUUAAAGGGUGCGUAGGCGGAUCGUUAAGUCAGUGGUCAAAUUGAGGGGCUCAACCCCUUCCCGCCAUUGAAACUGGCGAUCUUGAGUGGAAGAGAAGUAUGCGGAGUGCGUGGUGUAGCGGUGAAAUGCAUAGAUAUCACGCAGAACCCCGAUUGCGAAGGCAGCAUGCCGGCUUCCGACUGACGCUGAAGCACGAAAGCGUGGGGAUCGAACAGGAUUAGAUACCCUGGUAGUCCACGCGGUAAACGAUGAGCGCUAGGUGUCCGGGGGGAUUGACCCCUGG
rnacentral:rRNA from 1 species